GAACAACACCAACAACAUCUUUGACAACUGGCUCAACUGAGUCCACCACCAGUUCCACAACAGAAAUAACUCCAUCAACAUCUGGGACCACCACUACAUCAGAAACGACACCAACAACUGAGACCACAACCAGCACUAC